UACGGAGGUGGCAAGCGUUGCUCGGAAUCACUGGGCGUAAAGGGCGCGUAGGCGGGGAGGUAAGUCGGGUGUGAAAUCCCUCGGCCCAACCGAGGAACUGCGCCCGAGACUGCUUCUCUGAGUCCCGGAGAGGAAGAUGGAAUUCCCGGUGUAGCGGUGAAAUGUGUAGAGAUCGGGAGGAACACCGGUGGCGAAGGCGGUCUUCUGGACGGUGACUGACGCUGAGGCGCGAAGCGUGGGGAGCAAACGGG
rnacentral:rRNA from 1 species